rnacentral:rRNA from 1 species
AUGGCUGCUGCACCAAAUGCCUUCUCGGCUCAUUUGGAAAAAUGGAUCGUUCAGCAGACCAAGGAUUCCAUAUUUUUUGUGAAUAUCUCUCCUAAUUUGGACUUCAAGAGUAAACUGGAAGAUCUUAUGGAGAAAGCCAAAACUGUGCCAGUGGGGGAAAGAGCAGAGGCGCUGAAUCCGAAAGGCAAAUGUGCCGGGUCUGUUGUCGAAGUUAGAACAAGGGAGAUCAUUAUCUUAUCAAGUGCCCAUCUCAUGGAGCAUGUCUACACAGUUUCAAAACCUCUUUCUGUUCGUCUUGCCAAAACGUAUUUCCAUACAGAUGUCCUUUGUGACCACUAUGAGGUUAGUUUCAGUCGACCUGGGCAACAUACACAUACUAAAAGGAAGUAUGCCUCAGCUACAAUUAUUGGCAUAGAUUGUGAACAGGACUUGCUCCUCAUCUCCGUGCCACGAGUGAAUCUGAAGAACUUGGAUAGUGACUGCAGCGUCAGCCAUCCUCCUCUUACCUUCAGUUCAGUCCUUCCUGUGCAACUUGAUGAGUGUAUUAUGCUUUCGUGGCCUCCUUUGCAACACCGGACUGUGGUUAAAGGUAGUAUUUGUCACAUUUCAAGAGCACUCUAUGAUUUAGUGAAGAAGUUGGACAACCCUGUUGGGUAUGGGAUGAGGCUCCUGCAAGUAACAAUCGCGAGUGAAAACGGGAGCUCUGGAGCUCCACUGCUGGAUGGAAGAGGAAAGGUCAUUGGAAUCCUACAUGGAGGUUCGGGAGGCCCAUUCUCUUACUUUGUCAAGCUUCGUCACAUCAUACCGUUCCUGACAAAACAUGGCAUAGUUGCGCGUCAGGGUUAG